rnacentral:rRNA from 1 species
GACGAACGCUGGCGGCGUGCUUAACACAUGCAAGUCGAACGGAAAGGCCCUGCUUUUGUGGGGUGCUCGAGUGGCGAACGGGUGAGUAACACGUGAGUAACCUGCCCUUGACUUUGGGAUAACUUCAGGAAACUGGGGCUAAUACCGGAUAGGAGCUCCUGCUGCAUGUUGGGGGUUGGAAAGUUUCGGCGGUUGGGGAUGGACUCGCGGCUUAUCAGCUUGUUGGUGGGGUAGUGGCUUACCAAGGCUUUGACGGGUAGCCGGCCUGAGAGGGUGACCGGCCACAUUGGGACUGAGAUACGGCCCAGACUCAUACGGGAGGCAGCAGUGGGGAAUAUUGAAAAAUGGGCGGAAGCCUGAUGCAGCAACGCCGCGUGCGGGAUGACGGCCUUCGGGUUGUAAACCGCUUUCGCCUGUGACGAAGCGUGAGUGACGGUAAUGGGUAAAGAAGCACCGGCUAACUACGUG